rnacentral:rRNA from 1 species
AUGGCGAUGAGGAGAAGCAAGGGGGCACACACGAGGAAGAGUGAAGCUGGAGCAGGCAUGGGGAUAGAGAAGCAAAAAGAGAAGAGCUGCAGUUUAGAGAGUGUUGAGCGAGUGCUACGGUGUAUACCAUGUUCUCGGGAUCGAUGGUAUGUUCCUUUGGGGAGACAAACAAAAAAAACUAAUAAUUGGUCGAGCCAGGUGUAUACCAUGUUCUCGGGAUCGGUGGUAUGUUCCUUUGGUAAGAUCAAUAAAAUAUUAUCAUUGCUUCCUUCAAAUUCAAUAAGUGGUUCAACCACAAUGUUCCUGGUAAUAAGUGAUCUGAUCACAAGUUCAAGUUAUUUUUUUUUGGAUCAAGCUCUCUUUAGGAACCAUUUGGCGCAGUCAUCAUUUAAACUUGUCGAUCCUCUUUUAUCAUUGUAA